rnacentral:miRNA from 1 species
UAAGCUCUACGUCUGGAGGCAUCC